CGGAAUUGAUAAUGGUUGAAGUAAUCCACCUGAGCAUUGAUGUCCUGCCUUAAUCUAUUGACAUACAAGACACUUUGAGACGAAAUCGACAAUUUUUCUUUUCAUCUCGUUCUACCAUAAUCAGAGCCGCAUGCUUUGGUACAUUUUAAUACUUUUCGGAUUCAUGGUAAACCUUGAACUUUGAGCCUCUAUCAUGAUAUUAUUUUUCAGUUUGUUAUCAUUGAGGACAUAAAACCAAUCUUGAAACUUAAGUAACUCAUCGGUAGAGACUCGAAAUCCUGUGUUUAAACUAUGUUAUGUAUCCUUUCU
rnacentral:lncRNA from 1 species